UACGGAGGGUGCGAGCGUUGUCCGGAAUCAUUGGGCGUAAAGGGCGCGUAGGUGGCCCGGUCAGUCUUUGGUGAAAGCGCGGGGCUCAACCCUGCGUCGGCCAGGGAUACUGCCGCGGCUCGAGCACUGUAGAGGCAGGCGGAAUUCCGGGUGUAGCGGUGGAAUGCGUAGAGAUCCGGAAGAACACCGGUGGCGAAGGCGGCCUGCUGGGCAGUUGCUGGACACUGAGGCGCGGACAGCGUGGGGAGCAAACAGG
rnacentral:rRNA from 1 species